CACGUAAGGGGCGAGCGUUGUUCGGAAUUAUUGGGCGUAAAGGGCGCGUAGGCGGCCGCGUAAGUCUGGUGUGAAAACCCCGGGCCCAACCCGGGAACUGCAUUGGAAACUGCGCGGCUGGAGUCACGGAGGGGCAGCCGGAAUUCCUGGUGUAGGGGUGAAAUUUGUAGAUAUCAGGAAGAACACCGGUAGCGAAGGCGGGCUGCCAGCCGAUGACUGACGCUGAGGCGCGAAAGUGCGGGGAG
rnacentral:rRNA from 1 species